UACGUAGGGUGCAAGCGUUGUCCGGAAUUAUUGGGCGUAAAGAGCUCGUAGGCGGUCUGUCGCGUCGGCUGUGAAAACCUGGGGGCUCAACUCCGGGCCUGCAGCCGAUACGGGCAGACUAGAGUGCGGUAGGGGAGACUGGAAUUCCUGGUGUAGCGGUGAAAUGCGCAGAUAUCAGGAGGAACACCGGUGGCGAAGGCGGGUCUCUGGGCCGUAACUGACGCUGAGGAGCGAAAGCGUGGGGAGCGAACAGG
rnacentral:rRNA from 1 species